CUCCUUUUCUUUUUCUUUCUUUUUCCCCACCACGCCGCAUCCGUUCGUCAUCGGUCUUCGCUUUGGGGCUUGGGUGACGGUCGUCCCUUUGGUCGCCCUUGCCGGCCACCGGCAGCAGCGCAGGGCGCAGCAGCAGCUCGACUACGACUCCACGAGUCUACAGACUACAGGAGCAGGGCAGCAGUCAGCAGAAGCGCCGGGCAGUGCAAUUUAUAUAAGCUAGGUUUUAAAGUUUGAAGAAUUGGAAGUUUCAACUGAUUCUCUCUUGAAGGGACCCGGACACCUGCAGUGUUGCAGCUAUUAAUCCCCAUCACUAGUAAAAUUGCUAUUAACUAUCGAUGACAUUGAGAUUGGCAGCUUUGUGGUAGAGGAUAUAUUUUGCAUAGCUCCGUCACGGCAGCGAUCACCACUUCCUCGAGACCUGGCACUAGUGGGACCGCAGGUGCCAAGAAGGCACCUUGAUCUAAAUUGGCCAAGGCCAAGGGAACAUGGACGCUGAGAGCCUGAGAAGGCUUCUUCUGCCGAGAAGGGCCUCCAUCAGCGACCGCAUAAAGUCAUCUCUUCUGUUCAAGAGAGAGAAUCGAACAGGCUGUGUUUAGUUUCUGAAAUUAAGGAGAAGUUUGAAGAAAGUUGGUAGUUUAAAAAAAAGUUAGGAGUUUAUGUGUGUAGGAAAGUUUUGGAUAUGAUGUGAUGUGAUGGAAAGUUGGGAGUUGGGGGGAAAUUUGGUGUGAACUAAACAGGGCCCAAGUAUGCAAACUUCUUAAUCAUUUUUUUCCAUUCUUGCUCUUAUAUAGGAUCCAGUUCACCAAGCUUAAUUGAUUUGUUUUUCUUGAAGGAUGACUCCAUCUCUAUCGGAGCAAAGCUCGGAACAGCUAGAUGAAGCCAGCUCUCAUCCGAUCUCUACCAUUGUGACUCCUCUCCCUGUACUGCCGCUAGCACCGAGCGCCUCUCGAACCAAGUCACCCAGAUUGGUCCUUGACCAUCUUGCCAAGGCCUACCGAGUACUGGAGACCACUGCCCAGGAAGCCCCCUUUGAACUCAAUCAUCUUUACGUGGAGAUGGGUUCGGCAGGGGACAAGGUAAAAAAGAUGGAGUAUGGCGAGAUCCGACAACAACAAACUUUGUGAACUAGUACGGGACAACAAGGCCAUCCGCAAGAAGGGCGAAGAUGUGCUGAUGAAAGAGAAGGAGCCCUUGGUAUCCCUCUAAGAAGGCUUGGACGAUAACUUCUCACACUUUAACGAGAUCGCCAAAGGAUAAGGUCGUGGGGUCGAGCCUCCCAAGUUCCCGAUGAGACGUUAGUUUUGGUGUCUCUCAGGGAGCUCGCGAGAUCACUCUAAGGGAUCUCCGCAGACAUCUCCAACUAGGCUUUAUAAGGCGAACGGAACGACCUAAGGACUAGCACCUGCCACGUCCUUGUCUGUCUCAAGCUCACUCAACAUCAAGGAGAUGCUAACGAAGGGUGGGCUGACGAUAGGCGGGAGGAUGUCAUGGCUGAGCUGGAGAAUGCCGAGGACUCAAUCAUUAGUAUUUAUGGCGAGUAAACAACCUAGAUGUGUUUUAUGAACAAUUUUUUUUAUGUGAUGUCGGAAGCGUCGAGCGGAGCAGCGACGUAGCAGGUCGUGGUCAUCGUCCUCCUCGCCUCGAGAGGUGGCCCUGGUGGUGGAUCUCUGCGUCGCCGGCCAGCGCCCCGCUAGCGGAUCUUGAGCAAUGGCCCCGGUGGUGACUCCAUCAACUCUAUGAACUCCCUCGGUCGGCACUUCAAACCGGCAGGGGCGGCGACGGCGGUCCGGAUCGCUGUCUUUCCGAGUGGUGGCGGCGGUGGCUGAUCUGCUUGUGGCGGCCCUCGGCGGCGACGACCCCUACGGUUCAGUGGUAUCACCGAUUUCUCCUCAUUGAGCGAGCCUUGUGCCAACCUUUAGCAAAGAAAGCACUCGUUUAUCUAGUGAGAAGUAAAGAAUCAACCAGAGCUAUGGGCCCCACCUACUUUCUUCUCCAUGUAGGCGAAUCCACUGUGAAAGGCUAAACAGAGUUUAUGAAGAAUUUUUUUUGAAAUAAUAUGAUUUUAAUGGAAAAUCGCAAAAAUAUAAGUUGGUUAGGCGAAAUUACAAGUUUAGCACCCUGUCGAAAAAACACAGUUUGACAGGGUACCUGUCCAACAACCACGGUUGGA